UACGUAGGGUGCAAGCGUUGUCCGGAUUUAUUGGGCGUAAAGAGCUCGUAGGCGGUUUGCUAAGUCGGAAGUCAAACUCUCAGGCUCAACCUGGGAUCGCUCCCGAUACUGGUAUGACUUGAGUCUGGUAGGGGAUCACGGAAUUCCUGGUGUAGCGGUGAAAUGCGCAGAUAUCAGGAGGAACACCGGUGGCGAAGGCGGGUUCUCCUGGGCCUUACCUGACGCUGAGGAGCGAAAGCGUGGGGAGCGAACAGG
rnacentral:rRNA from 1 species